AACGAACGCUGGCGGCAUGCCUAACACAUGCAAGUCGAACGAUGCCUUCGGGCAUAGUUGCGCACGGGUGCGUAACGCGUGGGAAUCUGCCUUUCGGUUCGGAAUAACUCAGGGAAACUUGAGCUAAUACCGGAUAACGUCGCAAGACCAAAGAUUUAUCACCGAAAGAUGAGCCCGCGUAGGAUUAGCUAGUUGGUGAGGUAAAGGCUCACCAAGGCGACGAUCCUUAGCUGGUCUGAGAGGAUGAUCAGCCACACUGGGACUGAGACACGGCCCAGACUCGUACGGGGGGCAGCAGUGGGGAAUAUUGGACAAUGGGCGAAAGCCUGAUCCAGCAAUGCCGCGUGAGUGAUGAAGGCCUUAGGGUUGUAAAGCUCUUUUACCCGGGAAGAUAAUGACGGUACCGGGAGAAUAAGCCCCGGCUAACUCCGU
rnacentral:rRNA from 1 species